rnacentral:rRNA from 1 species
GACGAACGUUGGCGGCGUGCUUAAUACAUGCAAGUCAACUGAAGCAGUGGUAGCAAUAUCGCUGUGGAGGUGGCGCACGGGUGAGUAACACGUAGGUAAUCUGCCUUCCGGUCUGGCAUAACUCCGGGAAACCGGGGCUAAUAGCAGAUGAUGCAGCGGCUCGACAUCGAGACAGUUGUUAAAGCUAUGGCGCCUGAAGAUGAGCCUGCGUCUGAUUAGCUAGUUGGCGGGGUAACGGCCCACCAAGGCAACGAUCAGUAGCUGGUCUGAGAGGAUGAUCAGCCACACUGGAACUGAGACACGGUCCAGACUCCUACGGGAGGCAGCAGUAAGGAAUAUUGCUCAAUGGGAGAAAUCCUGAAGCAGCAACGCCGCGUGAGGGACGAAGGGCUUUUGCUUGUAAACCUCUGUAGUGAGAGAAAAAAAUCCCAAUCUUUGGGACAUGAUGGUAUCUCAAAAGUAAGCCCCGGCUAACUACGUG